rnacentral:rRNA from 1 species
GAGCGGACAGAUGGGAGCUUGCUCCCUGAUGUUAGCGGCGGACGGGUGAGUAACACGUGGGUAACCUGCCUGUAAGACUGGGAUAACUCCGGGAAACCGGGGCUAAUACCGGAUGGUUGUCUGAACCGCAUGGUUCAGACAUAAAAGGUGGCUUCGGCUACCACUUACAGAUGGACCCGCGGCGCAUUAGCUAGUUGGUGAGGUAACGGCUCACCAAGGCGACGAUGCGUAGCCGACCUGAGAGGGUGAUCGGCCACACUGGGACUGAGACACGGCCCAGACUCCUACGGGAGGCAGCAGUAGGGAAUCUUCCGCAAUGGACGAAAGUCUGACGGAGCAACGCCGCGUGAGUGAUGAAGGUUUUCGGAUCGUAAAGCUCUGUUGUUAGGGAAGAACAAGUGCCGUUCAAAUAGGGCGGCACCUUGACGGUACCUAACCAGAAAGCCACGGCUAACUACGUGCCAGCAGCCGCGGUAAUACGUAGGUGGCAAGCGUUGUCCGGAAUUAUUGGGCGUAAAGGGCUCGCAGGCGGUUUCUUAAGUCUGAUGUGAAAGCCCCCGGCUCAACCGGGGAGGGUCAUUGGAAACUGGGGAACUUGAGUGCAGAAGAGGAGAGUGGAAUUCCACGUGUAGCGGUGAAAUGCGUAGAGAUGUGGAGGAACACCAGUGGCGAAGGCGACUCUCUGGUCUGUAACUGACGCUGAGGAGCGAAAGCGUGGGGAGCGAACAGGAUUAGAUACCCUGGUAGUCCACGCCGUAAACGAUGAGUGCUAAGUGUUAGGGGGUUUCCGCCCCUUAGUGCUGCAGCUAACGCAUUAGCACUCCGCC